rnacentral:rRNA from 1 species
UACAGAGGAGCCAAGCGUUGUCCGGAUUGACUGGGCGUAAAGCGCACGCAGGCGGUUGCGCGCGUGGGGUGUGAAAUCUGGCCGCUUAACGGCCAGGCGCCAUCCCAUACGGCGCGACUGGAGUGAUGCAGAGGUCGAUGGAAUUGCCGGUGUAGUGGUGAAAUGCGUAGAGAUCGGCAGGAACACCCAGGGGGGAAACCAGUCGACUGAGCAUCUACUGACGCUGAGGUGCGAGAGCGUGGGGAGCGAACCGG